CCCACCCCUGUUCCCGGGCUUGUCUCAACCCCACCCAGUGGCUGCUGCUGUCUGCGCCCGAGGACCUCAUCUCCUCGCAGAGGCUGGCUCCCCGCGCCCCGCAUCCCACGCUGGGACACGCGUGUGGCCUUGCCAGGGUGGGCGAGACACGGCCGCCUUCCUUCACAUCCAACGCCGGUGAGGCUCAGCACUCAUUGUCUCACUGGCAGCACAGACAAAGCCUUGCGGGCUCCACGGGAUAAUCAACAGCGAGAACGCCCCCAGGGACCUCCGGAAAGAGACACCAUUGGUUGCAGGCCUCCAGGUUCUCGUCUGCCUGGUCAAGAAAGGCACAAAAAGGACCAACAAAUAAUACUGACAUGGUGCUUUGGAUCCAGGAGGCCUUGCGGUACCAGGAGAGGAAUACUGAUGGUUCCAUCUGGCGAAUGGGAAAGACAGAGUUUCGCUCUUCGCCCAGGCUGGAGUGCAAUGGCAUGAUCUCGGCUCACUGCAAACUCCGCCUCCCAGGUUCAACCCAUUCUCCUGCCUCAGCCUCCCAAGUAGCUGGAAUUACAGGCAUGUGCUACCAUGCCCGGCCAAUUUUGUAUUUUUAGCAGAGAUGGGGUUUCUCCAUAUUGGUCAGGCUGGUCUUGAACUCCCGACCUCAGGUGAUCCGCCCGCCUUGGCCUCCCAAAGUGCUGGGAUUACAGGCAUGAGCCACUGCACCCAGCUGGAACCGACACACUUUUGAGGCAUCAAACAUUUCUCACCUGGCCUCAGAACUCACCUUCCCUGUAAAAUGGAGACUAUGGGGUCUGGCUGCCUCCUAGAGAUACUCCACAUGUGCCCUGCACCCACUAACCCUGCUGGCUCUGCUGGUGAGCUCAGCUAGCCCUGGGUUCACCUCCUCCACUACUGCUACAGACCCUGGUGCUGGAAGCUUUCAGUUUUCCAGAUGUAAAUGUUUCACAUUUCAAUUGUAAAUGUUUAGCAACUUGUUCUAUAGGUGGGAGCUGAUUUAUAUUUAGUAAUUUCUGUGGUGUAAAUACUUCCACUGUAUCUGAUUUCAAACUAUCAAUGUGAUGUCACUGAAUGUGGAGUUGAGAAGAGAUGAGAAGUGGCAUAAUAUGAUGUAGUACUUCAUAAGAGAUGUAAAUAAACUUGAAAGCAUAGAUAAGAGUAUAAUGUAAGAGAAGGGAGGCAGAAAAAGUAAAAAAAUACAAUGUAGUAAAAUAAUUAAUAAUUAGGAAGUGGUAACUUGAGUAUUUAUUACUUUAACAACUAUAAUUUAAUUUUACAUAUAUAUAAUUUAAUUUUUUUAAUUUUUAAUUUUUUUGGUUUUUUUUGAGACAGAGUCUUGCUCUGUCACCUAAGCUGGAGUGUAGUGGCACAAUCACAGCUUACUUUAGUCCUGACCUCCCGAGCUCAAAUAAUCCUCCCACCUCAGCCUCCUGAGUAGCUGGGACCACAGGCGUGUGCCACCAUGCCUGGCUAAUUUUUGUAUUUUUUGUAAAGAGGUCUCACUCUGUUGCCCAGGCUGGUCUCAAACUUCUGAGCUCAAGUGAUCCUCCUGCUUUGGCCUCCCAAAGUGCUGGGAUUACAGGCGUGAGCCACUGCUACUGGCCAUAAUUUAAUUUUUAACAAAGGCUGUGUUUAACAACUAGCUUACAAAAAUCUUGAACAUUUUAGAAUUGAUUCUUGACAGUUUGAGCACUCUUCAGCACACCACUGCAGGUAACCUGCUCUGGUCCCCCUUUAAAAAUCACAUUUGGUUUUUACAGUGCAAAUUACAGCUGUAUUCCCUAAGAAGCAGGACAUGCUACUAGUAACUGUGGCCUUGGCCUCAUCUUUAAACUUUAUGUACCUCAGUUUCCUCAUAUGCAAAAUGAAGAUAAUAGUAUUAAUACCUAUUUCAGAGGCUAUUGCAAGGAUUAAAUAAAAUCAUGUAUGUGGAGCCACUAGCAAAGUAUCUGGCAGACAGUACAUAUUUAAUGUAUUGGAGCUUUUUUCAGGGGAUUCAUUGACAUGCCUGGGGGCAAAGCUGCACCUUGGGGUCCAUCAUCAGCACCUUCAAAAUACCCUGAUUUUGGAGGUAUCAAAAUACCCUGAUUUUGAAGGUCCCUGGCCAGCCAAAAGAGGGACUGACCCUACUGAUCCAGCCAACAAGUCCUGGAGCCAAGAACCUUCUGAGGUGUUGUGUCUGCCAGAGCUUCACAGCCCUAUCCCUGCCUCCCCAGACAGUCUGAAGGAGGGAGCAACUCCAUUCCUCUAUGCACUGGCAGCUCAGAGCUAGCAAGGCCAAUCAUAUAGCUCUGUCUUCUCACCAUUAAAUCACAUGAAAAUGAACCAUCAGGGAGGGAAUACAGUGUCCAAUGACCAGGAGCUGUGUGUGUGUGUAGGUGUGUGUGUGUGUAUAUGUGUGUGUGUGUGUGUGUGUGUGUGUAUGUGGGAGGGGUUUGUGGGCUGGCUCUGUCUAGAAAGGCCUCAGGCCCUAGGCUAUCCCCAGUCCCUUCCUUCCUCCCUGCAGAUUGUCUCCUAGAGUCACUGCCCAGCCCUUGGGCAAAGGGCAAGCAGCAGGUCAUCAGGCUGGUUGGCACCAGGGGUGGGGGGGAUCUGAUAUUCAUUCAUCUUCCACUGGGAUACCAUCUGGAGACAUAGCAGGUGGAUGCUCCCUUUCUACCUUGGCUUUUCCUUGUGUGAAAAAUGGGGCCAACACUUUUACCAGUUAACCUGACCUGUAUUAGGGAAAGAAUGUUGUCAAAGACAUGCUUCAGAAAAGCAGGUGGGGCUGGGUUGCCCUCUUAUAUGUAUCUGCUAAUUGGGCAGCCUCAAGUGCACAUUUUCUAAGGCUAGGGUCAGAGUUGGGGUGGAUAGGGAAUCAUAGCUGCUGCUGUGAAUAGCCCAGAUCUAAGCCCUGAACUCUGACCUCUACAAAGCUCCCUCCGACCAGUGGCCUGCAGGGAUUGCGUCACCAAGCCUGGCUCUCACAGGCUCCUGACAAGCUGCAAGAAGGGUUGCCCCUGGUGAUGGUGCAGGCUCACAAAUUCAGAUAACCUCCUGAGCCUAGAUCUUCCUCCUCUGGAGUGGGAGUUGCUUCUCAGCUCCUGUUGGCCUAGCCCUGUACAGCCCACCCAUUUUGGACUCUGACAUUCUGCGGUGAGGGUGGCCUCACCUUCCACCUCCUCUGGGGUCAAAUGGGUUUACCUUCACAGGGCUUUGAAAGCUGCCCAAGGAAUCUUGAAUCAAAACAUGAAACUCAUGCUAAUUUCUAUAUGAGAUCAGACAAGCUAGCAACCUUUCAGUGCCUCAACUUCCUUAUAGAGAGCCAAACUCCUCUGUCCUGCCCUGCAAGCAGUAAAGGCACACACUCCUUGUUAUAUUCCUGGGAGAUGAAAGGAAUACUGUGCCUCCUGACUCUUAUCAUAGGAGUGACUACCUCAUCCUGAUUGGCCCAGGACUGUCCUAAUUUUGGCACUGGAAGUCCCAUGUGCCAGGAAUCCCCUUAGUCCCAGGCAAACUGGGAUGGCUGGCUAUUCUACUCACCACCAACUGGGACUAAUCUAACCCCCAUGCCAUAUUCCAGCACCUAGAUUUAGAGCAGAAUAUUAAGAUUUGUGCUGGAAAUUGGCCAGGUGUGGUGACUCACGCCUGUAAUCCUAGCACUUUGGGAGGCAGAAGCAGGCUGAUCACUGAGGUCAGGAGUUUGAGACCAGCCUGGCUAACGUGGUGAAACCCUGUCUCUACUAAAAAUACAAAAAUUAGCUGGGUGUGGGGGUACGCACCUAUAGUCCCAGCUACUCGGGAGACUGAGACAGGAGAAUCCCCUGAACCUGGGAGGCGGAGGUUGCAGUGAGCUCAGAUCAUGCCACUGCACUCCAGCCUGGGCGACAGAGCAAGACUCCGUCAAAAAAAAAAAAAAAAAAAAGAUUUAUGCUGGAAAUCUGGAAGGACCCAGGAAUAUUAGCUCAAAGAGCCAUCUUAAGUCCUUUUAGAAUAAGGCAGGGUCUGAAUUGAAAAGUGAAAAUAAAAAAUUAGCUCUGGUUUAAAAUUGAUUGUUAGGUGGAAGAAACAAAAAAUCAAUUAUAAAGGCCACAUAUUUGUAUGAUUCUAUUUAUAGAGAGUGCUCAGAAUAGGCAAAUCUAUAGAGACAGAAAGUAGAUUGUUGGUUGCCUAGGGAGGGAGGCAGGGAAGGUGGUAGGGAGGGAGGAAAUGGUAGUGACUGCUGAUGGGUAUGGGAGUUUUUUUUAGGGUCAUGAAAAUGUUCUAAAAUAUUGUACGACUCUGUAAAUAUACUAAAAACCAUUGAAUUGUUCACUCUAAAUGUACAAUUGUACAUGUGCAAAUUUGUACAAUUUGUAAAGUUAUACAAAAUAAAUACAAAUUUAAACUGUGAAUUGCUGGUAUGUGAAUAUCUCAAUAAAG
rnacentral:lncRNA from 10 species